CAGUCGCCGCGGUAAUACGAGGGGGGCAAGCGUUGUUCGGAAUUAUUGGGCGUAAAGGGUGCGUAGGCGGUUUGACAAGUCUUAUGUGAAAUCUCUGGGCUCAACCCAGAGUCUGCAUGGGAAACUGUCGGGCUUGAGUAUGGGAGAGGUGAGUGGAAUUUCCGGUGUAGGGGUGAAAUGCGUAGAUAUCGGAAGGAACACCUGUGGCGAAAGCGGCUCACUGGACCAUAACUGACGCUGAGGCACGAAAGCUAGGGGAGCAAACAGGAUUAGAUACCCCUGUAGUCCCUGUCUCUUAUAC
rnacentral:rRNA from 1 species